rnacentral:rRNA from 1 species
CAAACCAUUGGGAGGAGUUGUGGUUAGGGGUGAUAUGCCAAACGAACUUGGAGAUAGCUUGUUCUCUCCGAAAUCGCUUGAGGGCGAGCGUGCGGCGAUGACGGCAGGAGGUAGAGCACUGUUGGGGCUAGGGGGCGAUCCGCUUACCGAACCCCGGCAAACUGCGAAUGCCUGCCGGGCAGCCGUGCAGUUGGGCGUCGGGAGAUGAGUUUCGGCGUCGAGAGGGGAAGAACCCAGACCCACCGCUAAGGUCCUCAAGUCAUGGCUCAGUGGGAAACGUUGUCCGCCUGUGCAGACAGCCAGGAGGUUGGCUUAGAAGCAGCCACCCUUGAAAGAGUGCGUAACAGCUCACUGGUCGAACGGGCGGGCGCGGAAAAUGGAACGGGGCUGAAGCCAUGCACCGAAGCGUGGGCAAGACGUUAGUCUUGGGUAGGAGAGCGUCGUCUCAGCGGGGAAGGCGUCCGGGCAACGGGCGUUGGAGCGGAGACGAGUGAGAAUGCUGGCAUGAGUAGCGUAAUGGAUGUGAGAACCAUCCACGCCGAAUGUCGAAGGGUUCCGACGGAAGGUCAGUCCGCGUCGGGUCAGUCGGACCUAAGCCGCAGCCGGAAGGCGCAGGCGAUGGACAACCGGUCAAUAUUCCGGUACUGGUCGUGGGAGUGGCACGGAAACGCGGUGGGGAGGCGCAGCCGACGGUUGGAGGUCGGUGGCAAGCGGGGGUGAAAGCCCGUGAUGCCGGGGAGUUAUCCCAGAAGUGCGCGGCAGACACCGCCAAGAAAAGUCCGGGUCACGCUGAAAGCGACUAGCCGUACCCCAAACCGACACCGGUGGACGAGUAGAGUAUACACAGGCGAACGGGAGAACCCUGGUUAAGGAACUCGGCAAAAAGACCCCGUAACUUCGGGAGAAGGGGUGCCUCAGCGAUGAGGUUGCAGUGAAAAGGCUCUGCCGACUGUUUACCAGAAACACAGGUCUCUGCGAAGGUGAAAACCGACGUAUAGGGGCUGACGCCUGCCCAGUGCCGGAAGGUUAAGAGGAGGGGUGCAAGCUCCGAAUUGAAGCCCCGGUGAACGGCGGCCGUAACUAUAACGGUCCUAAGGUAGCGAAAUUCCUUGUCGGGUAAGUUCCGACCCGCACGAAAGGCGUAACGAGUGGAGCACUGUCUCAACCAGGGACCCGGCGAAAUUGAAGUGCGUGUGAAGAUGCGCGCGACCCGCAGUUGGACAAAAAGACCCCGUGGAGCUUGACUGCAGCCUGCUGCUGCGUUAGGGGACUGCUUGUGUAGGAUAGCUGGGAGGCGGAGAAGUCGGAGCGCCAGCUUCGAUGGAGCCGACGGUGAAAUACCAGCCUGGCAGUGCCUUGACCCUAACCUGGCGAAAGCUGGGGACCGUGGCAGGGGGCAGUUUGACUGGGGCGGUCGCCUCCAAAAAGGUAACGGAGGCGUUCAAAGGUCGGCUCAGGCUGAAUGGAAACCAGCCGCAGAGUGCAAAGGCAGAAGCCGGCUUGACUGCGAGGCGGACGUGCCGAGCAGAGCGGAAACGCGGACUUAGUGAUCCUACAGCACGGAGUGGAACGGCUGUAGCUUAACCGGAUAAAAAGCUAACCCCGGGGAUAACCGAGGCUAGUCUGGUCCAAGAGUUCACAUCGACGACCAGGCUC